GAAAACUAUUUAGAGUUGCCUUAUUAUAUAGAACUAGAUGAUUACCCGCGCUACGCCGAGGUUUUUUCGGAUUUUUUGUAUUAUUUAAUUU
rnacentral:sRNA from 1 species